GUGAUCCACCAGCCUCGGCCUCACAAAGUGCUGGGAUUACAGGUAUGAGCCACCACGCCCAGCCUGCAAACAUAUGUUGAACUCUUUGCACAGUGCCCUGCAUGAGAUAGAUGACAGCUCCUUCUUCCAUGUUGUUAAUUUGGUGUGAGUAUAUGUUAUAUGUAUGUAUAUGCAAGAUAAUAAUCUUCUUGUAACCACUGACAGGCCUUUUUGUGAAUGAUGAUGGAAAAAGCAAGAACCUUGUCCAGGUUCCUCUCCAGGGAGCAGGGGUGGGUUGUGAUUCUUGAUUUCAUUCCUUUAGAUAUGAAGAGUUUUCACACAGAGGCAGCACGAAUUUGUCUCUCUCCUAGAGGGUGGGGAGAGUUGCUGGGUGGAUAUAACUGCAUCACAGCCUUUCUGGGUAAACUGGCCACUCCCUACUGAUUUGUUAUCAUGCUAAAUGUGUCUCCUCCCUUCCUUUCUGGAGCUUUUGCAGCUGUUCCUGGAAGGAGACCCAGUUGAAAGGGGUUGUUAUGGACCAGGAACAGCUGGGAUCUUUAAUGAUCUGUGAGCAGCUUACAGCAAAGUUCCAACACCCUGAGUAUCAGUCCCCAAAUCCUUGGUCUUUGCAUUCCAACACAAAGUAAAAAGGAUUGAGCAGGGUUUUGGUUUUGGUUGCAAGUAACAGAAACCCAACGCUAAUUAAUAAACGGGAAAGUGUGUCAGUGGAAAUCUCCACAAGUCCGACGGAAAGAGAAAACUGCUUUCCCAAAGGGUGUAAGAGGAUGAAAGGCAUGUCAUCAGCUGAAUUGCAUCAGGUGUCCAUCUUGGAAUCAAUCACGGUGCCUCUUAUUAGCAAAGCCUGAGUCAUAGGUGAGUCUAUACUUGGAUGGGGUAGUAAGGAAAUCCCAUGUUGAUUGCAUGGAUGGAAAGUGGGGGUGUUGUGGUUUCAUAAUGGCUUAUUAGGGUUCAAUAAUCAGAACACCAAAUAAUCCAUGCUGGGAGGUAAAAAUUGCAGAUAUUUUACUUUAUGCCCCAAACUAGACUUCAAAUCUGUGCUGCUCUUCCAAUCAUGAAUCCGCAGAACAGAGGAUAGAAAGUUCAGGUCAAUUCAAAUUUGACAAACACUUUCCGAGCACUUACUAUGUGCCAAUAUCCGUGGGAGGCCCUGGGAAACCAAAGAUGAAUGAAACACAAACUCUGAUGUCAGAGACCUCACAGUCUGGUGUUUAAGACGAUAAUAGUCUGGAUUAGAUUCUGGUGUGAUGAGAUGGAUUGUCUCAUAAAAAACAGAGGGAAGGGAUUAUUUAACUCUGAUGGGUGGCUGGGUGCUGAGAAGACCCUCAGAGGGUGUAACCUUUGAGUCUUAAGGAGGAUUAAGUUUAAAGGGGAUUUUGUUGGAGGAUAAGCAUCAAGGAAAGCAUUCCAGGAAGAGAGACGGGCAUAUGCAAAGGUAUAGUGUUGUGACCUCUGAUUAAAUAUGGAUGAGACAGGACAGGGAAAAACACACUUGUUAGAUUGUGGCAAAUGCCCAUGUGAAGUGAUUAAGUGACUGAAAUUGGGCAGAGGUGGUGUGCUGGUAGAUUCUAAGGUGACCCCAGUGAUCCAUGCCUUGUAAAAUCUUCUCCCCUGUGAGUGCUCCUUGGUGAGCAGGUGAUGUUAUAUUGGGAGAUUGACUAUAAGAAGGGGAGACUAUCUGUGUGGUCCUGGCCUAAUGACAUGAAUCCUUUAAGAGCAGAGCUUUCUCCAGCUGGUAGAAAAAGGGGAAGUAUGAGACUUAAAGGUGGAGGUGGCCCCAUGGAAAAGACCUAAGGGUAGCCUGCGGGAACUGAGAGAAAACCCCAACUGGCAGCCAGCAAGAAAACAGGGACCUUAAUCUUACGACCACAAGGAACUGGACUCUGCUACCAGAAUGAGCUGCAAGGGAGAUUCUUCCUCAGAAGCUUCAGAUAAGAACUCCACCUGGCUGACCUUUGAUUUUGGUUUUGUGAGAACUUUGGCAGAUAACCCAGGCAUGUGUCAUUUCACAUCUGCAUAAAAAGACAUGCUGAAGGAUGUUCCUUGCAGAAUGGUUAUAGAGAAAAAUGGGAAUAACCACGAUAUAAAGUAACAGGAUUUCAACAGUGAAGGAGACCUGAGAAACCAUAAAAUCAAUCUCUCAAAUUGAAGUUGAAAAAAGCAAAUCAUCUCUCACACCCACCCUGAUUGGUAAUAAUUAACUUGGCAAUACUUCAGUUACUCUUUCAUUAAGCAGUUCUCCUAGAUAUCGAAUUUAUGUUAGUUUAUUUAUUGGAUUCAUCCUAAGCAUUCAAGGUACUUUUGAAGGAUAUGAGGCAAACUGUUAGCAUCAUUUAACAUUUAUUGAAUUGUAGCAUCCACAUAACUUAGAGCAGACACAAGACUUAAUGAGAAAAGCAAGACAUUAUUCCUGUUUUAUAGAGAGUAACCAAGGCCAACAGGUAGAAAGAAGACUUGCCCAAAGUCAGACAGAAAAUGUUGAGAGGAGAUUAGGACCCACUUAGGUUAUUUUUGGUAGAUUGCUCUUUUCACUUAUACAUAGCUGAGUUUGCCAGGAAUAAAGAAAAUAUACUGAACAUGAACAGUUAAUUGAGAUGCUUAAGCGUAAACACAUGGAGGGGUGGUAGGUAAGCGCUUGUGUUGACUCAGCCAUCAUUCUGUUUGUGUGUGCCAAUCAGUCUCUGCCAGUUGGUAUCAGUCAUUAUCCAAUGAGAGAAAUGAGAGCUAGGAAAAGGGGAGUGAGCCCCGAUUAUCUUUUAUAAGUAUAUAAAUUGAUGGCUAUGGUAGGAUUUUUCUCAAUGUGGAAACUCGAAGUUCUGUGCCUAAGUUUUAUUUCAAGAAACAUUUUGUUUGUGUCAAUAGAUCCAGAGCCAAUGGGUUCAUUUAAAACUCUCUUUCAUGAUGGCAAUGAAUAAAAGAGGAUCCUAGACCAUCAGAAGAUUUUAGCCUUGGAGCUCCCCACCGUCCUAACACACACAGAUAGAGCUGGCUCCGAACUCUGCUGCUUCCAUGGUCGUGGCUACCUACUACUCUGUUCCUACUUCAUCUUCACUGUGAUUUUUGUCCAUAUGUCAGACUGAAGCAGACUGCUUAGGGCCUUGGGUUGAGGGAGCUUAUAGAACCUUGGGAACCAGGAACCCUUUAGGACCCUGUGAACUACAAGUCUGCUAUUUUAGGAAGUGGAUAAAAUGGCAUUUUGACAGAUCUGGAGGGUCUUGGAUCUACCUUUCAACAUUGGCAUUACUGAUAUUAGAGUACCACCACUCACUAGCUGUGGAGAUGUAGGAAGAUUACUUAACCACUCAGAGCCUUGGUUUCCUCAUUUGUUAUGUGAAGAUGACAAUAUCAGAUGACAGUGAGAUCUGAGAUGAAUUUAACUGCCUUCAGUAGUGCUGGCCUGCUCCUGAGAGAGAGAUGAUUGAGAGGGAGGAAGUAGAGAGGAGGAAGAAGCCUUUACUCACACUCCUUGAGGAGUGAUUCAGGUGGACAGCCUGAAUUACGGGAUUUAUUGGCAGCAAGUAAGUAUUGUCUGAGUGGAUUACUGCAAAAUGCUUUAGCUGGGGAUGGCUUUGAAAACCACUCAUCAAUUACAGAUGGUACCCAGUAUAGCAGCAGGAGUACCCUUGCGGGCUUUUGUUAUCUCCGACCUCUUCCUUCAUGGGUGACCGUUCUAACCCAAAGACCUCAACUGUUCAUCAAAAACCUGCCACUCAGAACUGCAUAUCAAUUAUUAAACAAUGUCCCAUGCAGGACAGUGACUUUAAAUUAUCUUGGAAAUGAUAAAGACCAACAUUUGUCUUUGUUAACAUGCUGAGUGAUUCUGUGGUCUCUAGUCACAGGUGAAAGGAUCAGAUUUGAGAUUUCUAGACACCAGAAUCACAUUAGGGUUAAGCAAAACUCCAUCUUUUCCCAGAGAAAAUUUAGCCAGAAAUGUUGCUUAUUUGAGAUGAGAAGUAAGAUGAAGUGUUCUAACAUGGCGGAGCUUGAUAUGCAAAUGAGCCCAUCUAGGGACAGUAGGGAUUGGUAAUGUGGGUCUGUGGAUGCCUGGAAGGCUCACAGAAAGACUUCAGGAAUUCCUGAGUCUCUUCAAAGUGUAAGCAAAAUUUUGUGUGUAUUUUCUUAUUUGCAUGAUAUGGCUUGGCUGUGUCCCCACCCAAACCUUAUCUCGAAUUGUAACUCCCACAAUUCCCACAUGUCGUGGAAGGAUCCUGGUGGGAUUCAUUAUGGGGGCAGGUCUUUCCAGUGCUGUUCUCAUGAUAGUGAAUGAGUCUCACAAUAUCUGAUGGUUUUAAA
rnacentral:lncRNA from 1 species